rnacentral:lncRNA from 1 species
AUUUUGUCCGGAGGUUCAGCCACCUCUCUUGUCAAGGCACAGCAGGGGCUGUUGCUUGCCUGGGAACCCUGCCAAAGCUGUAACAGCACUCAAUUCACCUAGCAGGGGCCACCUGCUUCAGGGGCAUUGUGGACCAGUCCUCUGGACACUAGUUUUUGGAAGAAGGGACUUGACAGCCCCGGUGAGUGGUGAGAUUGAGUGGCACCAGGUGGACUGCUUGCCUGAGGCCGCUCACCCCAUGCAACUGCAAUUCCCAAGCCUUUUCCCUGGAUGUCAGCCUCUAUCCACAGCGAGGUGUCUCUUGAAAAUGGCUAUAAAACUUCUUGUCAAAUUGGAGUACUUUGGAAUAUUUAGGAAAAGUUGGCAGAGAGGAGACAGGACUAAAGUGCAGCUCCCACUUGGAUGAACUGAACAGUGUGUGGAGACUCACAUUGUGAAUUUUUGCUCCAAGAACUACCUCAGGAACAUACCAGAAAAACCAAAAGAAUUCACAGACCCUUUGAAAAAAGUGGCUUGCCAGUGCAAACUCCAUGAGACAGCUGAAAAACUGUGCUCUCUGUACACAGAGGGUUUUGUCUGUUUGGUCACCGAUAUAUCUUCAGUGCCCAGAACAGUGCAUGGCAAUGGCAGACUCUCAACUGAUGGUUUAAAGAGGUUGUCUUUUCCAAGGCCCAUCACCUGCUUCACAGAAUUUUCAGCUCUUUUGACAAUUUCCAAGACAAGGGAUGAGUUCCAGCCACCAUGUCAUGAGGAGACCCUGGAUACCCCAGCUCAGAGCCUAGAGUGAGUAUUUGCAUUGAAGAGGAAACGUCGUAUAUUUGAAAUUUUCCAUUUUCUAGACUAUGCUUUGGGUCUUCAACUUCCACGCCAACACCAGAGGAUAAGUAUUUGAGACCCCCACAUUGGUCAUCCAACUAUGAAAAAAUUCUCAUUUUAAGCAUAUACAGCUUAAAAAAAGAAUCAACUUCAUGUAUUUGGAAAACCGUAAGGAGAUGGAGAUGCAGAGAAGGAAAAUGACUUGCCUAGGAUUGCAUGCUG